UUCAAUAACGAAAGAAAAGUUAAUUACUACUAUUAUAACAUGCUAUCAGCACAAGUUUCUGACCUAUCUCAAAAAUAUACAUGAGAUGAGUAACAAAAUUUGAGAGAUCUUUCGAUAUGAUAAGUAUUGGGAGAUUAUGAAGUUUGACUUGAAGAAAAUUAUUUAUUUUCAUGUCGGGAUACUGUCAUAUCAAAUUAUUCCACAAGACGGUCAAUUUAAUUAUGAUACAAGUGAAAGUAUCUUUCAGUGCUUCGUUGUUGCUAUUUAAAAUUCAAGUGAGCAAUUUUUCUAAAUUGACAAGAUCAGAUAUUAAGUUAUCGUCAAAAUAUAUUUGGAUGAGAUCUAUAAAUAUAUCCAAAAAAUAUGUAGCCUUCCUUUGAAAAGAGAUAUUCCAACAACAUUAUAUGAA